rnacentral:lncRNA from 1 species
AUGCUCCAUUCUUCAUUUCUUAGAAGUCUUUUCAGCUUAAAUAAAGGCAAGGAUGGAAGGAACAAACAACCGGCACAGUGUUUUCAUUGUGUGAAGGAGACCAGCGUAAUGUCUCCUUUUUGGGCCAACGGCUUAAGAGGCUGCAGGUCAUGUGACCGCUGCCACUGUUGCUCAUCUUUCUGUGUGUUUCAGGGCCGUGCAGUGGCAGACUUGGACGAGCCCCUCCAGAUAGAAGAAGACUCACACUGGCAAACAGACCCGACCUCAAAGCAUCCAGAGACGUCAGGGCUCCACUUCAACAUGAUCAACCAGCUGAAGGAGGCUGUGCAGCUCCUGCAGGACCCCAGCAGGGUGAACACCGAUGAUGUGUCAGGAGUGCAGCUCUACCCGGUGGAGAUGGUCACAGUGGAAGAGUCAAUAAAUGGGCAGGACAGCGAUGAUGGCGACUUCAGGCCAAAGCGGGAUGAAGGGUCUCCGGUCAGCGGACCUCCAUCCUUCUCCAGCCCCCCCUUUGGACUGAAGCCCCGCUCAGCUCCGCCGUCACUUCCGUGCUCACCUCCCCCUUCCUGUCUAGACCCCUCCCUUCUCCCACAGGCCUCGCCCCUCCAUAGAGACACACAUCGUAGCCAUGACGACGGGGACAUUCACAAUCGCGGUGAGCCACCCUUUUUCUGCCAACGUGCGUCACUCAGGGGGUUUAUUUCCGUCCUUACUGAGUGGAAGUGCUUGGGCGUCCUCUUCAGAAUAAUGUUUCAGGAAAGUGAAGAAAAUAGGCUUUGUUUUAUCUCAUCAUCUUGA